CCUACGGGUGGCUGCAGUGAGGAAUAUUGGUCAAUGGACGCAAGUCUGAACCAGCCAUGCCGCGUGCAGGAAGACGGCUCUGUGAGUUGUAAACUUCUUUUGUCCGAGGGUAAAUCCCGAUACGUGUAUCGGGAUGAAAGUAUCUUACGAAUAAGGAUCGGCUAACUCCGUGCCAGCAGCCGCGGUAAUACGGAGGAUUCAAGCGUUAUCCGGAUUUAUUGGGUUUAAAGGGUGCGUAGGCGGUUCGAUAAGUUAGCGGUGAAAUCCCGGGGCUCAACUCCGGCACUGCCUCUGAUACUGGCAGGCUAGAGUUGAGGUGCGGUAGGCGGAAUGUAUGGUGUAGCGGUGAAAUGCAUAGAGAUCAUACAGAACACCGAUUGCGAAGGCAGCUUACCAAACUACGACUGACGUUGAGGCACGAAAGCGUGGGUAGCAAACAGGAUUAGAUACCCGAGUAGUC
rnacentral:rRNA from 1 species